GAUGAACGCUAGCUACAGGCUUAACACAUGCAAGUCGAGGGACCGGCGCACGGGUGAGUAACACUUAUCACACCUGCCCUUUACUCGGGGAUAGCCUUUCGAAAGAAAGAUUAAUAUCCGAUGUAAAGGAUGGGGAUGAGUUCAAUUAGGUUGUUGGUGAGGUAACGGCUCACCAAGACUUCGAUGGAUAGGGGUUCUGAGAGGAAGGUCCCCCACAUUGGAACUGAGACACGGUCCAAACUCCUACGGGAGGCAGCAGUGAGGAAUAUUGGUCAAUGGGCGUUAGCCUGAACCAGCCAAGUAGCGUGAAGGAUGAAGGCUUAUGGGUCGUAAACUUCUUUUAUAUAAGAAUAUGUAUUAUAUGAAUAAGGAUCGGCUAACUCCGUGCCAGCCGCCGCGGUAAUAC
rnacentral:rRNA from 1 species